GAUGAACGCUGGCUACAGGCUUAACACAUGCAAGUCGAGGGGCAGCAUUACGGUAGCUUGCUACUGUAGAUGGCGACCGGCGCACGGGUGAGUAACGCGUAUCCAACCUGCCCACCACUUGGGGAUAACCUUGCGAAAGUAAGACUAAUACCCAAUGAUAUCCCACGAAGGCAUCCGAAUGGGAUUAAAGAUUUAUCGGUGAUGGAUGGGGAUGCGUCUGAUUAGCUUGUUGGCGGGGUAACGGCCCACCAAGGCAACGAUCAGUAGGGGUUCUGAGAGGAAGGUCCCCCACAUUGGAACUGAGACACGGUCCAAACUCCUACGGGAGGCAGCAGUGAGGAAUAUUGGUCAAUGGGCGAGAGCCUGAACCAGCCAAGUAGCGUGCAGGACGACGGCCCUAUGGGUUGUAAACUGCUUUUAUAAGGGAAUAAAGUGGGUCACGUGUGACUUUUUGCAUGUACCUUAUGAAUAAGGACCGGCUAAUUCCGUG
rnacentral:rRNA from 1 species